UUUUUUUUUUAUUUAUUUAUUUUUUUUUCGGCCGGGCCUGUGGCCUAUGGAGUUCCCGCGCCAGGGACUGAAUCCAAGCCAGACCUGCAAUCUACACGACAGCUGCAGCAACGCUGGAUCCUUAACCCACUGUGCUGGGCUGGGGAUUGAACUCGCGUCCCUGAUUGCAGCAUCAAUCCCACUGCGCCACAGCAGGAACUCUUCAUAUGGUUUUGAUGAGGUCAGGAUAUGGUUUCUUGCCCUCAUAAGAUAAAAACUGAAUGAAUGUUUAGAAACUGGUUUUCUCUGCAACAACUCUCUGCAUAAUCAGCACUCCAGCAAAGAUCAAACUUGGGUCUUUGGAACCAGGUUGAUGCCGGUCAUCACACCACUACAGCAAUGGCCAAUGUACCGAUGAGCACACUCUGGGCUACCUUUCUUUCUGUUUUUCCUCCCAAAGAGUCUGAGUUCUCAACCUCAUACAACUUCUCCUGCCUAUCAUUUCUUUUCUUCACAUCAAAUGCUUAACCUCAAUGGAAAAUAACAGUGGAAAUGACAGUAUUUCUAGCAUCUUUCCUUCUUUCUUGACACAGGUAUAUGUCCCCCUAGACCUGGGUGCCUAGAGAUGAAAGUUCAUUUUUUGUCACUUACCCAAUGGUUUCAUACAUUUGGGACUCCCCCCCGCCUCCCCAGGCCAAAGAUCAAAACACAUCAGGGAUUAUAAUAAAACGGUUAUUAAAAACUUACACAGCAACAGAUUUCCUUUUCGACACAAGAACUUGUGUUGUCCCAUGUAAUUUUAAGAUUGUGUUUCCUUGCAUUUGGGAAUUACCAGCAUUCUGUGAAGAGUCUCAUUUCAAGUUGGGAUUAUUCAGACCCAUCUGUGACACACGUCCAACAACUAGAUGCUCUCGUGAGAGGGGAGAUGCCCUGUAAGGUUUCCCCCCAUAAGCCCCACCCAGUGUAAGGACACAAUCACUCAUUUUUUCCCCACAAUGUCAAAGUUCAAUAGCUUGAAAUGUUACAAUCUGUGAAAAGCAACAUUACCACAUAGCAAUAACUACAGCUCUGACACUCUGAAUAUGGAAUCUGUAGCAUAUCUAAUAAGUACCAGCCAGGCUUUAUGAAGAAAGAGUUGGCUAGCAGAACAACAUAACGAACACUGCAGGAGGAAAUAUUUAAUCUGUUUGUACAAGAACUUUUUCCAGCCAUCAGAUCACAGAAAGCUGGAACUGGAUGGACCUUGGAAAUCUUCUAAUCUAAUUCCUAAAUUAAAGCUGGGGCCUGGGCACUCCUCCAAGGGGGUGUGACUGGAAUAAACCCUUACAGUGGGAGGCGGUGAGUAGGGGAGUGUGGGCCUCCCAUGUGGACUUCCUGCAUUUCUGGAUAACAUUUGGGUUAAAGCAUUCAUCUUCCUCCCUUGCUCAAUGACACAUUUUCUGUCUCCUCCCUGUCUACCGAGUAAAAUCCAAACCUGGUUUUCAAGACUCUGGUUCCACCUUGCCAGCUUUAUUUCAUAUCCCUCCAAACAUCUGCACAGGCUCCUUUCUGUACUCUAGAUACCAUCUUCCCUGCUGAAGCCCACAGUCCUGUUGGCAUCUAAAACAUCCCUUCCUCCAUGCAGCCUCCAUGGUUCCUCCAAGCCAAUACACUCUCAAUGCUCAACAAUCUCACCAGCAGCUUGUCCUUAGCUCCAUUAGAGAACAUAUGGCAUUCUGUAUGCUAUUAUUUGUAUAUUUGGGUUAGGGGGGUUAUUGUUUUUUUUCUUUUUCGGCCACACCUGUGGCAUAUGAAAGUUCCCUGGACAGGGAUCAAAUUCCAGCUGCAGCUGCAACCUAUGCCACAGCUGCAGCAAUGUCGGACCUUUAACCAACUGUGCCGGGCUUGCAUCUCAGCAGUGACCUGUGCCUCCACAGAAACACUGUGCCACAGCAGGAACUCCUGUAUAUUUGUUUUAUGCUUCAUUACCUCGCAAGUUUCCAGAGGACAGGGAAGACACCUGAUUCAUAUAAAUUAAUUAUUGCACAGUCCUUUGCCUUUACUAGCUCUCAAGAAACUCAAAACAAAUAUAUUCAUAACAUAUUUUUUUUGGUCUAUAAGAGCAGAUCCCAGUAAAAUUUCAACUCACUACAUUUUAGUAAUUCUGUGUACAUGGAAUUAAAAGCACACUUUUUCUGCACCUUUUCUCCCCAACAUUUUAUUAUGAAAAAAAAAAAUUUCAAAUGGACAACAAAGUAUGUUUAAAGCCACCUAGAUUCUACCAUUAAUAUUUUACUCUACUUGUUUUAUCACACAUAUCUAUACACAUAGCGAUUUUCUGUUCAUCCAUCAGUCCAUCUAAUUUUUUUGAUAUAUUUCAAAGUAAACUACAUAUAUCAGAAUUUCCCUAAAUAAUUCAGCAUGCCUAUCACUAACCACAGUUCAGUAUUAAUUUUUUUCUUUCCAGGUAAAAUGUAUAUUCAAUGAAGUGUCCAAAUCUUAAGCGCACAUUCACUGAGUUUAAACAUAUACAUACAAACACAUAACUAAAAACAAAACAAAACAAAACAAAAACACACUUCUCUUCCAUGAAGAACCAAUGUUUUGAUUUUUUUCCCCCACCAUAGACUAGUUUUGCCUCUUCUAUAAUUUCAUAUAAAUGGAAUCCUAGAAUUUACACUCUUUUUGUGGAAGGCUCCUUUCACUCAGCAUGUCUUUUAGUUUCAUAAGUACUGGCGCAACUAUCAGUAAUUUUCUCAGUAUUACUGAAGAGUAUUCCAUUACAUAAAUAUCUAUUAUUUAUCUAUUUUCCCAUUGAUGGGGAUGCCUAGGCUUUACUUGUGUUCGUCAACAUAUAUUCCAAUUUCCCUUGAAUAACUAACUAGGAGUAGAACGGCAGAGUCAAAGAGAAGGGUUUAUUUAGUUUUAUAAGAAAUGCCAGCCAUGGAGUUCCUUUCAUGGCUCAGUGAUUAACAAACGCAACUAGGAACCGUAACGUUGUGGGUUUGAUCCCUAGCCUCGCUCAGUGGAUUAAGGAUCAGCGUUGCCAUGUAGGUCACAGACACAGCUGAGGUCGCAGCUCCUGAGUUGCUAUGGCUGUGGUGUAGGUCAGCAGCUGGGGUCUAAUUUGACCCCUAGCCUGGGAACUUCCAUAUGCUAUGAAUGCAGCCAUAAAAAGCCAAACAAAACAAAACAAAACAAAAACAAAAACAGAAACAAAAAAAAAAAAAAAGAAGAAGAAGAAGAAAUGACAGACCUUUUCCCAAAGUGAUGAUGCCAGUUUACAUUCCUACCAACAUUGUCUGAGAGUUCCAAACUGCAGUGGGAAGGUUUCUGAUGUUGAAUUAAACUUUAAAAAAAAAAAUAAACACAGAGAUACACAUAUUUUGUUUCACCUUGUGUCCAUUAUGAUGAGUUGUAUUUUACAAAGAAUAUGUACAGUUCAUCUAAAUUGUUUAGUUUUUGGCAUAAAGUUGUUUACAAUAUUCUUCUAUUUUUUUUUCACUAUUUGUAGACUGAUAGUCCCUUAUUCUAGAUAUUGUAAUCUGUGCUCUCUCUGUAUUUAAUAAAUUUUAUAGAUCUUUUAAAAAAAUAAAACAUUUGGAUUUAUGGAUUUUCUCUAUUUUGGGGGGUCUACUUUCCAGUUUAUUGAUUAAUGCUCUGAUAUUUAUUGUAUCUUCCUAUUACUUAUUUUGUGUACUUUUCUUAAAAGGAAAACUUUAGUCAUUGAUUUUUAGACCUAUGUUGUCCAAUGUGGUAGCCAAUAACCACAUGUGGUAUCUAAAUUUAAAUUAAUUUAAAUUAUACAGGAGUUCUCUUGGGGCAUAGUGGGUUGAGGAUCUGUCACUGUCACUGCAGCGGCUGGGGUUGCUGCUGUGGCAUGGCUUGGAUCCCUACUUCUGGAACUUCUUCAUGCCAUGGGCAUGGCCAAAAAAAUAAAGAUAAAUUAAUUAUAUAAAUUAAAAAUUCAAUUCCUUAGUUACACUAGUCACAUUUCAAGAACUUAAGAGCCAUACACGGCUAGUGGCUACCAGACUGGACAAUAUAUAUACAGAAUAUUUCCAUUAUCACAGAAAGUUCUAUUAGACAACAUAUUUUUCUAAUUUAAAUAUUUAAAGCUAUAAAAUUUCCUCUAUGUACUACUUUAGCUGCAUCCUACAAAAUUCUGAUUUGUUAUGUUUUCACUACCAUUAAGUUAAAAAUAUUUUCUACUGUGAUUUCUUCUUUGGCCCAUGGAUUACAUACAGUGUGUUGUUGAAUCUCCAAAUAUCUAGGGUCUCUCUAGAUAUAUUUCCGUUACUGAUUUCUAAUUUAAUUCCAUUGUGGUCAGAGGACAUACUAUAUUCCCCAUAUAUUUCAAACUUUUAAACUUUACUGAAACUUGUUUUGUAGUUCAGCAUUUUGACCAACUUGGUAAACAUCCCAUGUGAAUUUAAAAGAAUGUAUAUUCUGCUGUUGUUGAAUGAAACAUUCUAUAUCAAUUUUGUUUAUGCAUUCAUCUAUGCCUUUUAUGAUUUUUUUUUUUUGUAUAGCUGUUCUAUCAAUUGCUGACAGUGGAAAAAAAUCUCCAAUGCUGAGAAAAUUUUUUGUUUCUCCCUUUAAUCCUGUGAAUUGGUAUGUAAAUUGCUGCAUGGCAACUUUUACUCUGCUGGAAUGAAAUUAAAGGUUUUGACUAAAAGAUUUAUAAAGCAGCUUUCUGGAUUUCAUUAAUAUGUUGAUGUCCACAGUGAACUACAUUGCACAUCUG
ensembl:lncRNA